rnacentral:rRNA from 1 species
UACGUAGGAGACGAGCGUUGUCCGGAAUUACUGGGCGUAAAGCGCGUGUAGGCGGGCGUGCAAGUCUGCUGUGAAAGCUCCUGGCUUAACCGGGAGUGGUCGGUGGAAACUGCACACCUGGAGGACGGUAGAGGUAGGUAGAAUUCCCGGUGUAGUGGUGAAAUGCGUAGAGAUGUGGAGGAACACCGAUGGCGAAGGCAGCCCCCUGGGUCAAGAUUGACGCUCAUGCACGAAAGCGUGGGGAGCAAACAGG